CAAGGCAGGUAAGCAUGUUGC
rnacentral:misc_RNA from 1 species